UUUCUCUCUCCCUCUGUUAUGCAGUAAACAACGCUCAGGUCAGUGUGACACCACCACAGGCACAUCUUCGUCACCUGCUGCGAGGGGGAACAGAAUGGAGCGUUCCACAGCAAUUUCACUCCUGUGGUUUCCAGGGAAGAGCCUUAGGAGAAUGUGUUAAUCAGCCAGCAAGCAGAGAGGGAACAAGGUGUGCCAUGGGCAGGACAUUGUGGCUCAAUGAGCCAUAGCUCGGGGGACGACGACGACACUUGGAAGCUUUUUGACUGUCCUUGAGAAUGAGGGGCUGAUGAUCGUCUAAAUAUCCAUUUUACCAGCCAUCUCCCACAGGGUGACAUGUCAGUUCUGGAGAGCUUGACAGGGACAAGAGGGGAAUACUGAUGUGGUCAUCAAACGUCUUAUGCGACACUGCGCUAUGAUUACAGCUGUGGGGGAGUUAUUGAGACACAUGAAUGGAGCUGCAGAGCCCGUCAGGUAAAAGUAGCCCACUAAUUGAGGUCAAAUUCUUUCAUUUGUAUCUUUGUUAAAGCUGCACUAUGUAACUUUUUGGGCGACCCAACCUUAGUUACAGAACUAUCAUUCUCAAUGAAAGCAAGUCUAAGAAACGGUUGAUCUGUUCUACAGUGUGUGCACUAUAUUUCUAUGCUUCCAUUCUGAAGUUUAGUUUUCCAAUUUAUAGUGCACCUUUAAUGAUUCAUGAGGAAAGGGGGUUCAUGGGGUGAUUACCAAGCAUGAAUAUUCCCUUCUCAUCUAUUCAGUAAAGCCUUCCUCACCUUUCAAACAUGACAGUUUUGAAAAAUGAGCGUUUUGGUCAUUUUGUCAUGAUGAAUGGAGACAAAGCUUGUCAGCUUCAUCAGUUUUAGACAGAUAUGACAAAAGAGCAGGAUGGAUCCAUUUUCCCUUUGGGUGUUUUUCUGUUGAGUUUCUAUUGGAUAAGCAUGAGUGUUUAAUAUUCUCUUUGAAAAAGAAGAGAGAGUGAGUGUGAGUAAGAGAGUGAGAGAGGGAAAGAGAAUCAGAGAGUGUGUGAGAUAAAGAGAGAGCAAGAGAGGGAUAGAGAGAGUGUGUGCGCUUGAGAGAAAUUGCAUUUAUGUAACAGUUUCUUACCCCUAAUCCCAUGUAUAAAGUGGGGAUACCUGAGUCAAUUGUACAACUGAAAUGUGUCCUCUGAAUCAGAGAGGUGUGGGGAGCUGCCUUAAUCAACAUCCACAUUGUCUGGGGAACAGUGGGUUAACUGCCUUGCUCAGGGGCAGAAUGACAGCUUUUUACCUUGUCAGCUUGGGGAUUUGAUCCAACAACCUUUUGGUUACUGGCCCAAUUCUCUAGCCACUAGGCUACACCUCCAGUCAGUCACUGCCUCUGUCUCCUCUCAGAGCUUACCAGAGCUGCUUUCCUUUCUGUACAGCAGUCCCAGCCAGUCCUUCGGUCAACCACUGUUAAGUGAUACAAAUUGAGCUUCUAUCUAUCAGGUCUCUUCCAGACACUAAACAGCCUGACCAAGGGAUGUCAGACUGAUUAAUCACGGCUAAUGAAAUCAAAGAAAACCCUGCCUUGGUCACUUAUAUAAUGUGCAUGAAUGGUGAAAGUGUGUGUUCAUGUACUCUUCAUGUAUUAUAGGUGUGUGUGUGUGUGUGUGUGUGUGUGUGUGUGUGUGUGUGUGUGUGUGUGUGUGUGUGUGUGUGUGUGUGUGUGUGUGUGUGUGUGUGUGUGUGUGUGUGUGUGUGUGUGUGUUCAUAUGUAUUGAAAGCUUUUGAUACAAAAGUAUGCUUGGAAUUGUGCUUAAAACAAAAACCCUCAUUAUUUGAUCUACAUUUCUUGCUACCCAGCAAUCUGUUCUACACCUUCAAAAGAAUUUCAGUUGGUGCAGUCAAUCAACGUCUCAAAACUUUUAUGUUAGUCACGUUGUUGUUGUUACAUAAUGCAACACAGAUCUUUGUGCAGUUUCUUUCCUCCCAUCUUACUCACAAAACCGUGUUCCAUGGUUGAUGUUAGCUUUCCCACUGGGUACAGUGCUCUCAUGAAGGUUGACUGACUGAAAGCUCAGCCACAAUAAGAAAUGUGCAUCUGACUGAAUGUGUGCAGAGACUUUUUCCUGUUUUUCCAGUUUUGCCUUUUGCCUCCAGAACCUUCACUAAUCAGUUCUGGAUGUAUGGUAGAUUCUGCCUAUUAUCCACUGGGUACAGUUGAAAUGACAUUCCAAAAUAUGAGCUAGACCAAGUUACAGUGUUAGCACUCUCGACAAGGCAGGCAUGUGCGUGUCUGGUGCAGAUAUCAUUGAAGAGCAUCUACAGUAAAUUGUUGUGAGCCAGCCUCUCUCUCUCUCCUGUGCCCUCACAGCACUACAGGAACUAGAGGCAGGCAGCUGCCAACAUAGAAAUAUAAUUACUAGAACUGGAAUCCCCAUUCAAGUCAAUGUUCCAUAAUUCUAUCUAUAUGGCUCCCAAUCCCUCCUUUUUGCAGGGAAGUGUGACCAAAAGCACCUAGAGGAAAAACAAGACUCCCAACCAAAUGAACCAGUAAUGUUAGGUGGCAGGUAGCCUAGUGGUUAGAGCAUUGGGCCAGUAACUGAAAAGUUGCUGGGUUGAAUC